rnacentral:rRNA from 1 species
CAGUAGCCGCGGGAAUACGUAGGUCCCGAGCGUUGUCCGGAUUUAUUGGGCGUAAAGCGAGCGCAGGCGGUUAGAUAAGUCUGAAGUUAAAGGCUGUGGCUUAACCAUAGUACGCUUUGGAAACUGUUUAACUUGAGUGCAGAAGGGGAGAGUGGAAUUCCAUGUGUAGCGGUGAAAUGCGUAGAUAUAUGGAGGAACACCGGUGGCGAAAGCGGCUCUCUGGUCUGUAACUGACGCUGAGGCUCGAAAGCGUGGGGAGCAAACAGGAUUAGAUACCCCAGUAGUCCCUGUCUCUUAUACA